UACGUAGGUGGCGAGCGUUGUCCGGAUUUAUUGGGCGUAAAGCGCGCGCAGGUGGUUCGCUAAGUCCGGUGUGAAAUCUCCCGGCUCACCUGGGAGGGUGCGCUGGAGACUGGCGGACUGGAGGCAGGCAGAGGUCGGUGGAAUUCCUGGUGUAGCAGUGAAAUGCGUAGAUAUCAGGAGGAAUACCGAUGGCGAAGGCAGGUCUCUGGGCUGAUACUGACGCUCAUGCACGAAAGCGUGGGGAGCAAACAGG
rnacentral:rRNA from 1 species